UGGGCAACCUGCCCCUCUCUCUGGGAUAACCCCGGGAAACCGGAGCUAAUACCGGAUACUCCGGCUGGAUCGCAUGGUCCGGCCGGGAAAGGUCCGCCGGAGAGGGAUGGACCCGCGGCGCAUUAGCUAGUUGGUGAGGUAACGGCUCACCAAGGCAACGAUGCGUAGCCGACCUGAGAGGGUGAUCGGCCACAUUGGAACUGAGACACGGUCCAGACUCCUACGGGAGGCAG
rnacentral:rRNA from 1 species